ensembl:lncRNA novel transcript, sense intronic to ZNF701and ZNF808
CUUUUUUUUUUUUUUUUUUUUUUUUUUUGAGGGUAGGAGUGCCCAGUUGUAAUUAGAAUUUUCUUUCUUUCUUUUUUUUUUUUUUUUGAGACAGAGUCUCGCUCUGUUGCCCAGGCUGGAGUGCAGUGGCGCAAUCUCGGCUCACUGCAAGCUCCGCCUCCUGGGUUCACGCCAUUCUCCUGCCUCAGCCUCCGGAGUAGCUGGGACUACAGGCGCCCGCCACCGCGCCUUGUAUUUUUAGUAGAGGCGGGGUUUCACCCUGGUCUCGAUCUCCUGACCUCGUGAUCCGCCUGCCUCGGCCUCCCAAAGUGCUGGGAUUACAGGCGUGAGCCACCGCGCCCGGCAUCUGAACUUUGUUUUAUUUAUUUUUUUUGAGACAGAAUCUCACUCUGUCACCCAGGCUGGAGUGCAGUGGUGUGAUCUCGGCUCACUGCAACUUCCACCUCCCAGGUUCAAGCGAUUCUUGUGCCUCAGCCUCCCGAGUAGCUGGGACUAUAGGCGUGUGCCACCACGCCCAGCUAAUUUUUAUAUUUUUAGUAGAGACAGAGUUUCACCAUAUUGGCCAGGCUGGUCUUGAACUCCUGACCUCGUGAUCCGCCCGCCUCGGCCUCCCAAAGUGCUGGGAUUACAGGCAUGAGCCACCAUGCCUGGCAGCAUCUGAACUUUUAAUGACUUGGAAUUGUGGGGAAAAGAGAGAGAUCAGACUGUUACUGUGUCUAUGUAGAAAGAAGUAGACAUAAGAGACUACAUUUUGUUCUGUACUAAGAAAAAUUCUUCUGCCUUGAGAUGCUGUGAAUCUGUAACCCUAGCCCCAACCCUGUGCUGGCAGAAACAUGUGCUGUGUCAACUCAAGGUUAAAUGGAUUAAGGGCUGUUCAGGAUGUGCUUUGUUAAACAAAUGCUAGAAGACAGCGUGCUUGUUAAAAGUCAUCACCACUCCUUACUCUCAAGUACCCAGGGACACAGAACACUGCGAAAGGCCGCAGGAACCUCUGCCUAGGAAAGCCAGGUAUUGUCCAAAGUUUCUCCCAUGUGAUAGCCUGAGAUAUGGCCUCAUGGGAAGGGAAAGACCUGACCAUCCCCCAGCCCAACACCCGUAAAGGGUCUGUGCUGAGGAGGAUUAGUAAAAGAGGAAGGCCUCUUUGCAGUUGAGGUAAGAGGAAGGCAUCUGUCUCCUGCUGGUCCCUGGACAAUGGAAUGUCUCGGUGUAAAGCCCAAUUGUAUAUUCCAUCUACUGAGAUAGGAGAAAACUGCCUUAGAGCUGGAGGUGAGACAUGCUGGAGGCAGUACUGCUCUUUAAGGCAUUGAGAUGUUUAUGUAUAUGCACAUCAAAAGCACAGCACUUUUUCCUUUACCUUGUUUAUGACAGAGACAUUUGUUCAGGUUUUCCUGCUGACCCUCUCUCCACUAUUACCUUAUUGUCCUGCCACAUCCCCCUCUCCGAGAUGGUAGAGAUAAUGAUCAAUAAAUACUGAGGGAACUCAGAGGCCGGUGCAGGCGCGGGUCCUCUGUAUGCUGAGUGCUGGUCCUGUAGGCCUACUUUUCUUUCUCUGUA